rnacentral:rRNA from 1 species
UACAGAGGUCUCAAGCGUUGUUCGGAUUCAUUGGGCGUAAAGGGUGCGUAGGCGGCGCGGUAAGUCGGGUGUGAAAUCUCGGAGCUUAACUCCGAAACUGCAUUCGAUACUGCCAUGGCUAGAGUCCGGUAGGGGACCACGGAAUUCCUGGUGUAGCGGUGAAAUGCGCAGAUAUCAGGAGGAACACCGGUGGCGAAGGCGGGUCUCUGGGCCGAUACUGACGCUGAGGAGCGAAAGCGUGGGGAGCAAACAGG